UGUGGACAGUGAUGGACCGAC
rnacentral:siRNA from 1 species